GAUGAACGCUAGCGGCAGGCUUAACACAUGCAAGUCGAGGGGCAGCGGGUAUGUUAGCAAUAACAUAUGCCGGCGACCGGCGCAAGGGUGCGUAACGCGUGAGUAACAUGCCCGUAUCAGGAGGAUAACCCGGAGAAAUCCGGGCUAAUACUGCAUAAUAUUUUCAGACGGCAUCGUUUGGGAAUUAAAGUUUCGACGGAUACGGAUUGGCUCGCGUGACAUUAGCUAGAUGGAGAGGUAACGGCUCCCCAUGGCGACGAUGUCUAGGGGUUCUGAGAGGAAGGUCCCCCACACUGGAACUGAGACACGGUCCAGACUCCUACGGGAGCAGCAGUGAGGAAUAUUGGUCAAUGGUCGGAAGACUGAACCAGCCAAGUAGCGUGAAGGAUGAAGGUUCUAUGGAUUGUAAACUUCUUUAUACGGGAAUAAAACCACCUACGUGUAGGUGCUUGUAUGUACCGUAUGAAUAAGCAUCGGCUAACGUCCGUGCCAGCA
rnacentral:rRNA from 1 species